rnacentral:rRNA from 1 species
GACGAACGCUGGCGGCGUGCUUAACACAUGCAAGUCGAACGGUGAACCCCUUCGGGGGGGAUCAGUGGCGAACGGGUGAGUAACACGUGGGUAACCUGCCUCUUGCUCUGGGAUAACUCCGGGAAACCGGGGCUAAUACCGGAUAUUCAUUUCUGACCGCAUGGUUGGUUGUGGAAAGUUUUUCGGCGAGAGAUGGGCCCGCGGCCUAUCAGCUUGUUGGUGGGGUGAUGGCCUACCAAGGCGACGACGGGUAGCCGGCCUGAGAGGGCGACCGGCCACACUGGGACUGAGACACGGCCCAGACUCCUACGGGAGGCAGCAGUGGGGAAUAUUGCGCAAUGGGCGAAAGCCUGACGCAGCGACGCCGCGUGAGGGAUGAAGGCCUUCGGGUUGUAAACCUCUUUCAGCAGGGACGAAGCGCAAGUGACGGUACCUGCAGAAGAAGCACCGGCCAACUACGUGCCAGCAGCCGCAGUAACAC